rnacentral:rRNA from 1 species
AGGACGAACGCUGGCGGCGUGCUUAACACAUGCAAGUCGAGCGAAGCUCCUGCCUUCGGGUGGGAUGACUUAGCGGCGAACGGGUGAGUAACACGUGGGCAACCUGCCCUUAGCUCUGGGAUAAGCGAUGGAAACGUCGUCUAAUACUGGAUAUGACACUGGGACGCAUGUUCUUGGUGUGGAAAGAUUUUUUGGCUAAGGAUGGGCCCGCGGCCUAUCAGCUUGUUGGUGGGGUAAUGGCCUACCAAGGCGGCGACGGGUAACC